GGCAGGUAACGGUGAUGGUCUCAAGUUUUAGAACUGAACUAUGUGACUUUACAAUCUCCAGGCAUUUAUGUAUAAGACUUCACUGGAAAAUUUAGUCAACUAAUAGGCCAACGUUGGAAAGGCUGCCAUGUAAUUGAAUGUACGUCCUUCAAUCAUCUGCUCAUCGUACCCAAGCCCACGUUUGCUACCUGUACUUGCAAUUACCUUGGAAAUUCUUGGACCAUGUUCUGGAAGCAAGAAGUCUGAAAUCAGUAUCACUGGGCCAAAAUCCAGGAGUCACCAGGCCGUGCUCCAUGAAGAGGCUGCAGGGAAACGUGCUCCUUGUCUCCUCCAGCUUCUGGUGGCUGCCAGUGUCCUUGUUUUGUGGCCGCAUCCCUCCAGUCUUCAAGACCAGCGUCUGAAAAUCUUUCUCUGCUCUGUGUCAAAAUCUCUUUCUGUCCCCAUUUUAUAAGGACAGACAUGAUCUUAUUUUGGGCCCAACCAUAUAAUGCAGAAAAAUCUCCC